rfam:Salmo salar isolate Sally breed double haploid chromosome ssa15, whole genome shotgun sequence.
UGGCUCAGUUGGUAGAGCAUGGUGUUUGCAAUGCCAGGGUUGUGGGUUCGGUUCCCAC